rnacentral:rRNA from 1 species
CCUACGGGAGGCAGCAGUGAGGAAUAUUGGUCAAUGGGCGCGCGCCUGAACCAGCCAAGUAGCGUGAAGGAUGACUGCCCUACGGGUUGUAACCUUCUUUUAUAAGGGAAUACAGUGAGGCACGUGUUCCUUUUUGUAUGUACUUUAUGAAUAAGGAUCGGCCAACUCCGUGCCAUCAGCCGCGGUAAUACGGAGGAUCCGAGCGUUAUCCGGAUUUAUUGGGUUUAAGGGGAGCGGAGAUGGGUUGUUAAGUCAGUUGUGAAAGUUUGCGGCUCAACCGUAGAAUUGCCUUUGAAACUGGGAGGCUUGAGUAUGUUUGAGGCAGGCGGAAUGCGUGGUGUAGCGGUGAAAUGCUUAGAUAUCACGCAGAACCCCGAUGGCGAAGGCAGCUUGCCAAGCCAUGACUGACGCUGAUGCACGAAAGCGUGGGGAUCAAACAGGAUUAGAUACCCCAGUAGUC